AAAAUCAAUUACAAGUAGAAAACCAUUAUUAG
rnacentral:sRNA from 1 species